UGGAGGAGACAGAAGGCCCCUCUCUGCAGGACUACAGAUUAGGAUAAAAGUUGAAGCGGCCGCCACUUGUCCGUUUCCAUUUCACUGUCUAUACGGAGGAUGAUGGCAGAGGAUCACUUACUACAUAGACCCUUUGUAUCACCUGUGAUUCAACGAAUGAACGCCUCUGCUUCUUCAGUUAUCAACUUUUGGCAUUAUCUGUUGGUGACCUUUUGUGAGAGAUAACAACAUUUAUCUCAGAAUAUAAUUCCCGAGAAGGACAUU